GACGAACGCUGGCGGCGUGCUUAACACAUGCAAGUCGAGCGAUGAAGCACCAGCUUGCUGGUGUGGAUUAGUGGCGAACGGGUGAGUAACACGUGAGUAACCUGCCCCUCACUCUGGGAUAAGCCUGGGAAACUGGGUCUAAUACUGGAUACGACCGAUCUCCGCAUGGAGUGUUGGUGGAAAGUUUUUGUGGUGGGGGAUGGACUCGCGGCCUAUCAGCUUGUUGGUGGGGUAAUGGCCUACCAAGGCGACGACGGGUAGCCGGCCUGAGAGGGCGACCGGCCACACUGGGACUGAGACACGGCCCAGACUCCUACGGGAGGCAGCAGUGGGGAAUAUUGCACAAUGGGCGAAAGCCUGAUGCAGCGACGCCGCGUGAGGGAUGACGGCCUUCGGGUUGUAAACCUCUUUCACCAGGGACGAAGCUAACGUGACGGUACCUGGAGAAGAAGCACCGGCUAACUACGUG
rnacentral:rRNA from 1 species